rnacentral:rRNA from 1 species
GCUUCUAGUACGAGAGGACCGAAGUGGACGAAUCUCUGGUGUUCGGGUUGUCACGCCAGUGGCAUUGCCCGGUAGCUACAUUCGGACAGGAUAACCGCUGAAAGCAUCUAAGCGGGAAGCCCCCUCCAAGAUUAGAUUUCCCUGGAUCCUUGAGAUCCCUGAAGGGCCGUUCGAGACCAGGACGUUGAUAGGCUGGGUGUGUAAGCGCUGUGAAGUGUUGAGCUAACCAGUACUAAUUGCCCGUGAGGCUUGACCAUAUAAUAGA